UACAGAGGUCUCGAGCGUUGUUCGGAUUCAUUGGGCGUAAAGGGCGCGUAGGCUGCGGGGCAAGUCGGGUGUGAAAUCUCAGAGCUCAACUCUGAAACUGCACUCGAUACUGCUUUGCUUGAGGACUGGAGAGGAGAUUGGAAUUCACGGUGUAGCAGUGAAAUGCGUAGAGAUCAUGAGGAAGACCAGUGGCGAAGGCGGGUCUCUGGACAGUUCCUGACACUGAGACACGAAGGCCAGGGGAGCAAACGGG
rnacentral:rRNA from 1 species